rnacentral:tRNA from 1 species
GUUAUUUUGGCAGAUUAGUGUAAUAGAUUUAGAAUCUUUUUAUGUAGUUUAUUUCUACAAAUAAUACUUGUUAUU